UACCUCAUUUAAAGGCUGGCUGCUACUCUGGGAGGAUCUCUAGUUGGAGAUCUGUCCUUUGUGGGGUUUUCCUGUGCGCCUAGAUCUUCAGAGGCAGAUGCUGUCACUGGGGACUUACAGGAUUCUACUUGGUUCAGGCCAGUCCAGCUGUGAUCCACCUCUAAGCUCAGGAGGACUGAGAGCAGGCUGAACACAGGUCUCUUCUCUGGGAUGGUGUGCACUGCUGAAUGAUGAAUGUCAGAAGUGAAGGAAAAUACCAUUACAGCAGCCUCCACUUGCUCUCACAGAUAGCUUACCGUGCAACAGAAAUGUGUUGAAUGUCCAGCAAGGGAUUUCUACGGGGUGGUCACAGCUUCACUGCAGAGUGUGGUAUAGGAGUGACAGACGUGCAUUAAGCAUGGCACUUGAGUAAUGCAGUGCUCUAGGGGCAUAACAGCAGGCAGGAACUACUAUCAGAACAUAAGGCCCUGCAUUUCUGUGACUCAGCUUCCCUUCUUCCUGCAGAAGCUGAAGUGCACCAGGUGCUCCAUGGCACAGGUGUUCUAUGGAUGCUGGCUCUGGCUUCAAGGAUCUCCCAGCCUCAUGCAUUCACAGAAUGUUUCCUGACAUUGAAUAUGAGAGCAGCUACUUAUUUCACCUUUUUCACUCUGCUGUUGUAAACCAUAUUCUUAACAAGGAUGCAUUUCAGUUGUUCAGCAGCCUGCAUAUAAACUAGUCUUUGUACCAAAAUGCUUAAAGUACUGUUUUGUGAAUAAACACAGUCCAAACUA